rnacentral:rRNA from 1 species
AGAGUUUUGAUCAUGGCUCAGGAUGAACGCUAGCUACGGGCUUAACACAUGCAAGUCGGAGGGGCAGCAUUAUCGAAGCUUGCUUCCUUUGAUGGCGACCGGCGCACGGGUGAGUAACGCGUAUCCAACCUUCCCCCUUACUAGAGGAUAGCCCGGCGAAAGUCGGAUUAAUACUCUAUGUUCUCCUUUGAUGGCAUCAGAUGAGGAGCAAAGAUUCAUCGGUAAGGGAUGGGGAUGCGUCUGAUUAGCUUGCCGGCGGGGUAACGGCCCACCGGGGCAACGAUCAGUAGGGGUUCUGAGAGGAAGGUCCCCCCACAUUGGUACUGAGACACGGACCAAACUCC